rnacentral:lncRNA from 1 species
CCACACAUCCUAAUGUAAAGUUAGUUUUCUCAACAGCCACAUCACCUAAUGUAAAGUUAGUUUUCCCUCCACAGCCACAUCAUCCUAAUGAAGUUAGUUUUCUCCACAGCCACAUCAUCCUAAUGUAAAGUUAGUUUUCCCCACAGCCACAUCAUCCUAAUGUAAAGUUAUAUUCCCUACAGCCACAUCAUCCUAAUGUAAAGUUAGUUUUCCCCACACAUCCUAAUGUAAGUAGUUUUUCCCUACAGUCACAUCAUCCUAAUGUAAAGUUAGUUUUCCCCACAUCAUCCGAAUGUAAAGUUAGUUUUCCCCACAGCCACAUCAUCCUAAUGUAAAGUUAGUUUUCCCCACAGCAUCCAAUGUAAAGUUAGUUUUCCCCACAGCCACAUCAUCCA